UACCCCCAAUCUUUUCUCUUAAAACUGUGCCUUCAACAUUUCCAUUUCCUCAUACCCAAAUAACUGAUACCGUCAUCUCAUAUUCUCAAAAUUGAUCGGACUACAAAUCACAUUCUCAAAGUUCAAAGUCGCACUCGAUUAGCGAUAAGCAAAUCUCAGUGUGACACCAAAAAUUGAAAAGGGAAGCAACCAGGUCACUCAAGAGGAUCAUCUCCUUAAAUCGAGAUAAGUGCUAAAAAUGAGUUACGUUAGGAGCAUACUCAAGGUCUACCGGCUCGUCAAAGGUUGAUAUGAAAAAAUUGGAGUCAAAAAGAAAAUACUUUUGUGCAAAGCGUGUCGACACAAAGAUUUCAAUUGCCUCUUUAUAUGAAGGCUCAUCGAGUAAACUGUUGUGAAUUAAUAUUUUUGUAGUCAGCAUUGGAGUUUAUUUAUAGUUAGCAUAGCUUGUUCUGAAGAUGUACAAGGGAAAACUUUAUAUUUUUGAGAACCACUAUUGAAUGGUGUUGUAAGAUUUUCAAAAAUAAUGUGUACGUGCGUCUUUUGUUUUAAUU